rnacentral:rRNA from 1 species
CCUAGGGUGGCAGCAGUGAGGAAUAUUGGUCAAUGGGCGAGAGCCUGAACCAGCCAAGUCGCGUGAGGGAGUACUGCCCUAUGGGUUGUAAACCUCUUUUGUCGGGGAGCAAAAGCCGGACGUGUCCGGCUGUGAGAGUACCCGAAGAAAAAGCAUCGGCUAACUCCGUGCCAGUAGCCGCGGUAAUACGGAGGAUGCGAGCGUUAUCCGGAUUUAUUGGGUUUAAAGGGUGCGCAGGCGGAUUUUUAAGUCAGCGGUCAAAUCGUGGGGCUCAACCGUAAAAUUGCAGUUGAAACUGGCAGUCUUGAGUACAGUAGAGGUGGGCGGAAUUCGUGGUGUAGCGGUGAAAUGCUUAGAUAUCACGAAGAACUCCGAUUGCGAAGGCAGCUCACUGGACUGCAACUGACACUGAGGCUCGAAAGUGUGGGUAUCAAACAGGAUUAGAUACCCUUGUAGUC